GUAUAGAUAAAAUUGUAAUAUAAACGAGGUGGUACUAAUUGAAUUGAAUCGGUACGAAAGAAAAUAAAAACGCAGCCACGCUCUGCCUCGCGGCGCUCCGCCCCGCCCAACCCACCGUUCCCUCCAGCUAGGCCCCGCGCGCCGCCGGCCGACUCCUGCCUUCCAAUCCCAUCUCCUCCCCACCCGGGGCUUUCUUCGCCGUUCACAGCUCCCCUCCAUCGAUUGGCCGCGACCUCGCUGGAGGCAGAGGAUGGGAGGGUGCGGAGCUGGCAUCCGCCUCACGAAGAUCGAGCGGACCGAUCUGCGCGCCGGCGACCUCGCGGGAGGCAGAGGAUGGGAUGGCGUGCUGCACUCGAGACGAGCGGGCUCGAUUAAGGGGACCGGAGGUUGGCGCCGGCGGGCUCGUGGACGGGGAUGGAGAGGGCAGGUGCCAAUCCGGCGUGACAAGAAAGUUGUUGCGGCGCCGGCCGACCAGCUCCGUCUCCGCGAUUCCAUGGACGGCGGUGGCGUCGUCGCGGGGCCGGCCUGCCGGGAGGGCGAGUGGCUGCGCGCGUAGGCCGUGGCGAUGAUGCCGCGGGUGGAGGCGCUCGCCGCCGACCGCGCGCGGCUGGAGGCCGUCAACGCGCUGCAGCACGAGUCCUGGCCCCUGGGAGGCCCGCGACGUUCGCCUCCAGUGGCGCCUCCUCAAGGCGGAUGAGAACUGGAGGAUGUGGGAGGCGACGUGCAUGGCCCUAUGGCGCUCCGACGAUGACCGGAUGUUCCCCGGUUGCUACGGACUGCUACCCUUGUCUGCUGCACUGAAUAUAGAACACCUAAUUCCCUAAAGAGUGAAAAUGAGGAUCUAAAGAUUUUAUACAAGUGUGAGCUGGAAAACGAGGAACUUAAGAUAAGAGCCAACGACCGGGAGGAGGAGGAGGACGCACGGCAGCGUCAGAAUCAGCGCGUCGGAUCCGGCCGAGGCUUAUGUCGACACGGAUGCGGAGGCUCUAGCUGCAGCCGCCGCGCUCUAUGCCCCGCCCCUGCUCGCCGAGCCCUGCCUCUCUGGAUCUCCAGCAAUGGAGGUCGCUUCUGGCAUGUUCCGCAAGUUCAAAACGAAGAAGAUCUCUGUUUGCACAGCCCUUCAGGGGAACAAUUGGAUUUCUGCACUCCGUCAGGUCAACACCACCGAGUUAGUUCAUGAAUCCAUCAAAUUAUGGUUGUUGAUCAGAGAGGUGCAAAUACCACAGGCCAAGAUGUCGUCUCCUGGUGUUGGACAACAGAUGGAAUGUAUAUGACGCGCUCAACCUACAAGGCAAUGUUCUGGGGCUCUUACUCGAGCACUUGCUCUCGAACUUUCUGGAAGGCUUUGGCUGAAAACAAAGUAAAAAAUUUCUGUUGACACCUGUCGCUUGGGAGGAUUCUGACCGCGGACAAGCUGAUCCAGAGAGGAUGGCAAGGAAGCGAGAUUUGUUCGAUGUGCAGUUCACAGGAGGAGUCAGUGGAGCAUCUUCUUCUGAACUGUUAUUUUGCUCGCCAAGUUUGGAGGAGGAUCGCGGCUUGGUCUUGUUUCGAUUCGAGACAUUAUGACGUGAAGAUGGCCUCCGGGAGGGCACGGUGUACUCCUGGUGGCUGGAGCGAGCCUGCCAAAUCCUUACGACCAACCAGCGAAAGUUUGAUGGGACUGUUGCUUACACAAAAGAAACUUUUCAAAGAAAGCUCUUCAAAAAUGUUCUUCUUCAAAGAAAUGCACUGAUUUUCAUAAAAAUAGUAACUAUUCUUAAAAAAGUGUCAGUUUUUAUGAAAAUGCUAACUUUUAAAUAAGGAAUUUUCCGCAUUUUUCAGAAAAGCAAAAAGAAAAUGACAGACAAUCUAUUCCAAGAAAAGAUUACUCUUCCAUAAAAAUAGAUGGAUAACGCUAAGGCGGCUUCUUCACGUCCGAACUUCAUGCUACAUAAAGAACUAAUCAGUUUAACCUUAUUAUUGAUGUAUAUUAAAAUUAUUAAAAUUAGAUACAAAAAAUGGUGCCCGGUGCAACGCACGGGCAUUUGUACUAGUAAUAAUAAUCUCUCCCUAAUAAUAAAGCACGG